UAGUGGAUACAUAACUAUCGAAGAACUUCAGCAAGCCUGCAAAGAAUUUGGUCUUAGCGAGCUCAAUCUUGAUGAAAUUAUUAAAGAUAUUGAUCAAGAUAAUGAUGGACAGAUAGACUAUAAGGAAUUUUCUGCAAUGAUGAGGAAAGGCACAGGUGGAGCCGUUGGAAGGAGGACCAUAAGAAACAAUUUGAAUUUAGGAGAAGCACUAGGACUCGUACAGAGUGAAGAAAUCUUAUGAACCACCAAUUAAUCCGAACAGAGUUCCGAGUGAUCUUUCUAAUUUCUUGUUGACAUGAAGGUCCAACUAUAGACAUUUAGUUACUACUACAAGUGUUAGGUUUCCUUGUAUUAAACUUGAUCCCUUCCCCUGCUUUUAUUGAUGGCUGGUGUUUUUUUACCAUUAUUUGUCCCCAAGGUUAGAACUUUAGACUUUGACACCAGUAACAAAGAGCAAUUUUCUUCCA